GCAUGGGUGAAUUCUGCAUUGGCUUUUAUAGUAGCUAAUGGAGUCAGACACCAUGCAAGAACAAAGUUCCUGUCUUGGGCAUUCCUAAUGGCAUGCUGUGUCUCGGGCAGCAUGCCUGCAUCAAAAACAGGUACACAG